UGUUUGGUUUCGGAACUGGGACCAUGAUUAAGAGGGUUGGCCGGGGGCAUUCGUACUGUGCCACUAGAUGUGAAAUGCUUGGACUGGCGCAAGACGAACCAAAGAGAAAGCAUUUGCCAAGAAUGUUUUCAUU
rnacentral:ncRNA from 1 species